CAGGCAGGGAAGGGAGGGAGGAUGUGUACUCCAGGCACACCCUCAGUGGCUCAUCUCUUCUCACCAGGCCUGACCUUCCAACAUCACAUCAAAUUACACCCUCAUCAGUGGACUGAGCCAGUGUCACACCCAGUGUUGCCACCUGCAAGAGGCUUUCAGCUCAACACAAGCCAUCACAGCUGGCUCAAACUUACAAUUCUCCUGUCUCACUGUCCGAAGUAGCUGGGAUUACAGGUUAGGAAACUGAGGCACAGCAAGGUCAAAUGAUUUCCCAAAGCCAUCUGGUCAGUGGACUUGAGUGCUAAGUCGGGCAGCACAAUGCUCAUCCAUGGUCCAGUUACCCGAGAGGCUGAGGCUGCAAGAUCACUGGAGCCUACGGAUUCAAGAGCAGCCUGGAAAACUAGUGUGCCCCAUCUCCUCCCCCUAAAGACUCAACUCUUCUGUGGGUAGGGCUGUAGUGAGCGUACAGGAAGGCGUCUCUUUGACAUAUGGCCUUCUUUUCCUGUGGAUGCAAACCAGCAGCGGGAUUGCUGGAUCCUCUGGUGGUUUUAUUUCUACAUUUCUGAACACUGUUAUGUUGUUUUCUACAAUGAUGGCAUCAAUUUAUAUUCCCAACAGUGGAGUGCAGGGCACCUCCUUUCUCCAUCCUCACCCACACUGCUGCAAUAGCCUUCUUAGCAGGAUGAGAUGAUCAUCACAUUGUGCUGUUGAGUUACACCUCCAGGAUGAUUAGUGAUGUUGAGUCUGGCUUUGAACUCACUGUGUAGCUCAGGCUAGCCUUGAACUCAGAGAUCCUCCUGCCUGAGCCUCCUGAGUGCUGGGAUUACAGGUAUGUGCCACCAUGCCCGGUAAGUCCUUUUAACUUGAAGGUCAUAGACUGAACCUGCUCCCUUACUUUCAUCCAAGUUUAUUAAUAAAACUCCCAAAGUAGAUUGUUUUAGACCCCAGAUACACAUAACACACUCUCCCUACCUCCUUUGUCUCACUCUCCAGCCCCGGCUCUCACCGACAAAAAGGUCUGCAUAUACAAAUAGAGAAUAACUAUAUGAUCUUUCUUUGUUUUAAAGAGGAAAUAACAAUAAAACAGUUUCAAAACAGGCUAGUAGGAGAGUAACAAUAAUUAACACAUUGCAUAUUGUUACAUUGAUAAUAGUUGCUCAGAGUAUAAGAUACAGGCAUGAAAUAUUAUCCAAACAAUAUUGGCACAAACUUUUCAAUGAACAAACUGUAUAACUAUCUUAACUAUCUUGUGUGUAUACAUAUAUUUUUUCCUUCUCCCUUCUUUCCUUUCUCUUUUCUCCCAUCACAGUUAGCUAUAUGAUCUCAAACAGUCUCCAAAGACAGUUGUCUCUGAAGACAGCCUGUUUGUCUGUGUGAUUCUAUUAAUUCUGAGCUCUUUCCUAUCAGGUAUCAUCACAGAAGUAUCUUAUCUCUCUGUCCCCCAACAUGACAGUUGUCCCAGUGAGUUCCCUUCUUCUGAUGUGGGUUUGUAAACAAUAUAGGAAUUCAAGCAGCCAAAUUAAUAAAUUUGGAAUUUUAUUAGCUGAGCCCAGUGACCACCCCUGGACCCCUGUUUCAGAGUCCAAGCCAGUGGCACUGAACUGGAAAGUUACAGAGCUUUUAAAACAGAAAACUGAAGAGCAAGACAUCCUGUUGGAAACACUGUAGCUUGAAUCUUACAUUACUUUUGGUUGACUGUAUCCUGCUUCUUUGUUGAGCAGGUUAAUUUUUCUUUCUUGGGGGUGCAGCUCAUUCUGCUUUUCUCAUGGAACUCAUACCCUGAGUACUCUUCUGGGUCAAAUACAGGGCAUGAGUCAAACACAGGGCACAAGAUGGCAUCAGUUAUGCCAAACUACAACAGUUCAGAGCUAACAGCCCCCUGGGCGCCCCAGAAUCACGGCAUCCGUGUCUCACAGUGGCCAAGUCCUGGUAAAUUUUGAUCUGUUUUCUCUGAAAUGUAUUUCUAAGAAGUAUAAUCCCACUUGGAGGUAUACAUGUGCAACAGAAUGUGUUUACUAAAAAAGAUGUUCUGGGAUUCAUGCUGUAGCCGGGGACUUCUGGCGCUGCUGCUUUGGGCCCCUCCAAAGGAGCCUCGCCUGAGCGCGCAGCCAUGGUGCGCCGGGGCUGGGGCACUCGAGGGGCCCCGGGGAAGAAUGCCGCUUGCAGGAGAAAGCCUGGCUCUGUGAGAGGGCGGGCUGCGCGGGUAGGAGGGUCGCCUGGCAGGCCAGGGUGUGGGGUGUGGCUGGCUGCGCUGGGGACCCAGGAGUGUUUGGGGUUCACGGCGAGGGUGGCUCCUGCGGGAAGGCCAGGGCUGCUUCCCUGCCUCCUUCUCUAGGCGAGGCAGAUGUGAGCUAACGAGUCCUGAGCGCAGGACAGCUCUGCAAUACGGGCCCAGCAGCGAGAGGAAGUGCUGAACAUAAAGUGGUACGCGGCUCAGUGCGCUUCGCUCCAGCCCCGGACACAGGCUCUGCUGUCUGCAGCGGGGCGCGCCCUGCAAUCUGGAGGGGACCGAGGCGCCCCCCGCCCCCCGCAGAGGUGCCCAGGGACAACUACAGUCCCUGCCUCGCCAGGACAGCAGAUGGACCUGGGAUGGCCAAGGACCUGCACGGGUUUCUCCAGGGCAGAACGAGUUCCCCGCCGUGCCCUAGUCAUGGGCAGCGCGCUCAGGCCGGAGGCCAGCCCCUUUGACUCCAUACCUGACCAGGGCUUUCUCUAAACUCUCUGUGUCUGGGAAAUAAAUGCUGUUCUUUGCUCUAUAAAUAAAAUAAAAUAACAUAUAAUAAAAUAAAAUAAAAUAAAAUAAAAUAAAAUAAAAUAAAAUAAAGAAGAUGUUCUGGAAUAUUUGCAUCACUUUCUAUUAUUGGUGCCCCGAAACUGGAAAUGAUCCAAAUGCUCAAGAGUAGAACAGGUGAAUUAAAUGUGGGAAUGAAAUACUAUGCAGUAAUUAAUUAUAAGAAGAAUGACUUUCACAAGCAUAAUGGCAUAAUGUUGAUUGGAAAUAUCUGGUUGCAAAAUGUAUAUCUUCUAUGAUUCCAUUACAGAAAGUUGGAAAAAUAGGCAAAACUAGCGCACAGGUUUGGA